rnacentral:rRNA from 1 species
UAAGCACACAGGUAUGCCUUAGUAACGGCGAGUGAAGCGGCAAAAGCUCAAAUUUGAAAUCGGCCAUAGGUCGAGUUGUAAUUUGUAGAUUGUAUCUUGAGAGCGGAUUAAAGUCUGUUGGAACACAGCGCCUUAGAGGGUGACAGCCCCGUAAAAUCUAUUCUCAUUGUAAGAUACUUUCGAAGAGUCGAGUUGUUUGGGAAUGCAGCUCUAAGUGGGAGGUAAAUUCCUUCUAAAGCUAAAUAUUGACGAGAGACCGAUAGCGAACAAGUACUGUGAAGGAAAGAUGAAAAGCACUUUGAAAAGAGAGUGAAAAAGUACGUGAAAUUGUUAAAAGGGAAGGGUAUUGAAUCAGACUUGGUGCUGUUGUUCAACUGUGUUUCGGCAUAGUGUACUCAGCAGUACUAGGCCAAGGUGGGGUGUUUGGGAGUGAAAAAGAAGUUGGAACGUAACGCUUCGGAGUGUUAUAGCCUACUUUCAUAGCUCCUCAGGCGCCUCAGGACUGCGCUCGCAAGACUGCG